UACGUAGGGAGCGAGCGUUGUCCGGAAUUACUGGGCGUAAAGGGCGCGUAGGUGGUCCAUUAAGUUACUGGUGAAAGUUCGGGGCUUAACCCCGUGAUUGCCUGUAAUACUGGUGGACUUGAGUGCAGGAGAGGGGAGUGGAAUUCCCAGUGUAGCGGUGAAAUGCGUAGAUAUUGGGAGGAACACCAGUGGCGAAGGCGGCUCUCUGGACUGUAACUGACACUGAGGCGCGAAAGCGUGGGGAGCAAACAGG
rnacentral:rRNA from 2 species